rnacentral:lncRNA from 1 species
CAAAAAACAUGUUUAUUAAUUUUUAAAAAAAAAUUAUUAUGAAAACAAAUUAUUCUUUAGAAUAAAGUAGCUGGUUUUUUCUUCUGUUUUUUUUGUCAUAUUUGAAUUUUCUUACAAAAAUUUAUUUUAAAAAAUAUAUAUUUUUUGAGAAUUAUUAUUUUUUAAAUGUUUCUACACAAUUUGUAGGAAGUGAAUUUUACCAAUUUUCAUUAUAUUUUGGGAUUGAAGCAUAUGAGGUUGGAUGGAAUAUGACCUAGAACAGCCAGUUAGCUAAGCUUUUAUGAUUGAUUCGACAUCCAUUCUUUGAUUCUAUCCUAGUCUCUCAAAGCAAAUUUUGGUCAUUAUAAGGCUGGAUUGUAUGUGGUUGAGCUUUUUCUAUAGGCUUUCCAUACUUAUCCACUACCACAUUCUAAAGGGAGCAGUUGUGUUUGAUUGGGAUGCAAUCCAUUCAUUAUUACAAGAGACUUGUUAUUGGGAUUUAUAACUUAUACCCACACUUUCAUCAUUGAUAUAGUAAUAAUAUGGUGAGUGAUGUUGGUGAUAGGAAGAUCCAAGUGAUUAAGAGCCCGUUCAGUGAUUUUAAAAAAUGUUUUCAAAUUUUUUAACUUUUUAAAAUUUGUAUUGUUUAAAUGUUAAAAAGGUAAAAAAUAUUUUCUAAAAUUACUACCAAACACACUUUAAAAGCCUAUUUGAAAGUGAUUUUAGGAAAUAUUUUUAAAGCACAUUUUGACGGUAAUUCUAAAAAGUGUUUCUACUAUUUUUAAUACUUACAAAUUUUUAUUUUUCAAGUAUUAUAAAGAUUAGAAACACUUCCAAAAAUCAUUAACAAACUUACUCUUAAUUUUUUUAACACUUUAAAUUUUUUAUUAUUUAAGUAUUAGAAAUAUUAAAAACGUUUCCUAAAAUCACUCUCAAACGCACUCUAAAAAAUAAUUAUAUUUAUAAAUCAAAAUGCAAUUUAUUUCAUACGGAAUCAAAUAUUCCACGAGAAUACAUACCACAUUGGCAUUAAGAACCCGUUGUACAAUCUGUUAUUUUAAAAACAAUUUUUUAUGAUUUAAAAAAAAAAAAGGUUCAACAAUCAAAAAAUACAAAAUAAUUUUUUUCUUCUUAAAAAUAAAUAACAUGGUAUUUUUAGAAAACAUUUUUUUAAUUAUUUUAAUUUGUUUUCUAAAAAUAAUUUUUAAAAGUAAUUAUAUAAAUAUAAAAAAUGAUUAAAAAUAAAAUACUACAUGUUAAAAACAUUACAACUUUCCAAACAAAUUUUUAUUAUAUAAAACAUUAAAGAAUAUUGUUUAGUGUUUAAAAAGUCCUUGAAAACUAUUUUUCAAAAUUAUUAUCGAAAACACUUUUCAAAUAUAAUUUUAAUUUUAUUUUAUAAGGGAUGUGAUUAAACAAGGAAUUAAAAAAGACUUCAAAAUUCAACAAAUAUGAUCAUAAAAAAACCUAUGCCUAAAUCCGAGUUUGAUUUGUGCUUGAACUUGGUGAAUAUCAAAGACCUUGAAUAACCCUUUGAGGGCAUCUACGGUGAUCAAAGAAAGAUUAGAUUCUAUUUGAAAAUUGUUUUAGAAAAUCGUUUGGAAAAAUAGUGUUUUAUAACUGUUUUUAAAAAUUAUUUUUUGAUAUUUUGUAAAAUAAAUAUCUAUUUAAAAAUUAAUUUGAAAUAUUUUUAUAUUAUUUUAUAUGUUUUAAAAAUAAUUUUUAUAUACAAUAUUUUAUUUUUAAUCAUUCCUGAAUAAUUAUUUUUUAAAACUAGUUUUAAAAAACAAACGAAAACCAGAAAAUAAUUGUUACCACAGCUAGGCAAUUGCGAAGAAUUACAGCACCAAACCAGGAAAGGAAGCCGGUCCCUGACGUUAUGUUGAGGGUAGCUGUGCGGCUUGUGUCUCACCAAACUUUUGCCUUUGACCUUCAGGCACUUGCCAACGCUCUUGUGAUUGCCAUGGACCCGAGCAAGUUGUGCUGGCUGAUGGGUUCCUUUCUAUGCUCCUUUUCUUGGCUUUGGCAUUGUAAAUAUUGGUCAUGUGACAAGAAACUUCCCUGAUAUUUUAAUGCUAUCUGAACUUAUCCAACACUCAACCAUAUAGCAUUUGCUUGAAGCCUUUCACAAUUUCGUGUGAAAAAAAAAAAGUUUAUUUAUAAAAUUUAAGGAAGGAAAAUAAGUUAAAUCAGUAAUCAUUCUUACCUUGAGGUUUUGACUAAAUAUAUCUGAUACUUAUUGAUUUGAAAUUUCGUUAAACACGUGUUUUUUUCGUUAUUUUUAUUUAUUAUUUUCAUAACUCUUAUUAAAAUAUAGGAUAUUUGAUGAAAUUUUAAAUUAAUACAAAUCAUGCAUAUUUAACGAGAACUUGAAAAGAGGCGAGUGAAAUUAACCCUUUAUAUAAUAUAUGUUGUCGGAAAAAAAAAAUCAUAGAAUGAAUUCAUUGACAUCAUGGGAAUUCAUUGUUAAAUUGGAAGAAAUAUCUUGAAAUUGGGUUUUCAUUGAAAUGGAGGAAAGAGUAUCAUUAGCCUCUUUGACAAAGGCUAGCUAAUUGGGUUUUCAUUGUAUGUCAAAGUUAUGUACAACCUACUACUACAAAAAAGAAACCCAUCAUCAAAGAAAUAAAUUAAAACAGGAUUGAAUAUAGAGGUGCGAAAUUGAUCAAUAUUAUUUAAUGGUCCCACAUGAAAAUAGCCUUUCCAGCAAGUCCAUUCAAUUUUCACAAGACAUCCAACCAUAUCCUCAAGGAUGACCUCCCACCACACAAUCCUUGUACCACCUUAUCUCAUAUAUAGAUAGGAAUGAUCAACACUUACAGAAGUAUAUAUUAAGCAAGCAUGAACAGUAAGUAAAUAUAAAGCUGAAAGCAAAGAGCAUAGGUAUUAUUAAAAGUGGUGGCGUUUACAUGGCCACCAACGAUUAAAACAUCCGACGAUGAUGAUACACCAUAUCCUCAUACAAUAUUCCAUUGCAUUACUCCAUCGGAGACUUCGAAUAAGCAAAGAAAAAACAAAAAACAGACACAAAAAAUAAAAUUCCACAAGGGUCCUAAACAUGAGAGUGAAAAAACAUGGACAUCAAAUAUUGCGGAAACAGGAUCAGCUGGGCUUGUAGGCAAUGAAAGCGAUGCAUUGCACUUGGCGGUUAUUGUCGAAUCCGAUGAUUCGGAUGUGGGCGUCAGGGUACGCGGUCCUGGCUUCUUGCACCUCCUUAAUCACCUGGGCUGAGUCAGUGCACCCGAACAUGGGCAGCUUCCACAUGGUCCAGUACCUUCCGUCGUAGUAUCCUGGCGAUCUGUUGUGCUCUCUGUGGGGGUAUGGGUACUGCAUUCACAUACAAAAUAAUAAUCCAAUUAUUCUACAAAUUAAACCUCUAUAAUCCUAGUUUAAAAGCUUCACAGAAAAGUUCAUGAAAAUAACCAGCUUGGUGAAUUCCAAGCAAGGAAUCCAUUUCAUGCGGAGAAGGUAAUCCACUUCCUUGCAUAGCUGUUCGUCGUUGAGGGGUGGGAGGUAUGAGAGAGUCUCGAACUUCAUCAACCCUUCUGUAGGCCAAACCUGUGGUUUUCACAUGUACAAUAUCCACAGUUUAAUUCAUCAUAUAUAAAAAAAUAAAAAAUAAAAAAAACCCAGACUACUAAUGUCUUCUAAUUGAAGUGAAGUUGUGACUUGUGAGGCAGGGUGGUGGCAGUACCUUCAUGCAGCGAACUCGGCCACCAUUGCUAGCGACGGAGGUGAUGUCGGUGUUGGCUUUUCGGGUGCCAGGGAAAGUCGACAAAGAUUUGAGUCCGGUGAAGGGGGCCACCAUGUUGGCCUGAGCCGGGGUAGCACGGUUGAUUGUAGCCACGGUGGCGGAGGAGACCAUGGAGGAAGCCAUUUUCGCCUUUUGGGUUUUGCUAACACCACCACUGCCUUGUGAGUUAUGGCUC